GCCGUCGGUGUCGGACGAUCGGAGUGCAGCCGGGACUAAUCGCCGGGCACACAUUUCUGCACCGCACCCGCCUCGGCCGCCAUUCUGAUUACUUAACUUCUGGAAAACAUGGGUGAUGAGUCUGCGGAUGAGUACUAUGGCAUCAUCAGGAAGACGUUUGCUAGUGAGGAUGAUGGAUUUGAGUUCUAUAACAGUUAUGCUCUUGAGAAAGGUUUUUGUGUGUAGAAAAGAUAUGUUGAGUGGGAUGAAGCCAACCAGGAGAUAAUUCUGAGGAAACUGGUAUGUAGUCGAGAAGAGAAGCACAUGAAGAGAGUAGGAAGAGGAGGCCACAGAACCUCACUCUUGCUGGGUGUCGAGCCAAAUUUGUCAUUGCAAGAGUCAAUAAAAUGGUCUGUGGUUUGUGAAGGAUUUUGUCGAUGAACACACCCAUCUGUUUCAAUAUACAUAAAGUAGAUUACAAAGCUAUUAGAGGAAAGCUGACUUGUAAUACACAUUUUAUGUUCCACAAGAACAGACAAAGAGUUACUUUAACA